rnacentral:rRNA from 1 species
GACGAACGCUGGCGGCGUGCUUAACACAUGCAAGUCGAACGGAAAGGCCCUGCUUUUGUGGGGUGCUCGAGUGGCGAACGGGUGAGUAACACGUGAGUAACCUGCCCUUGACUUUGGGAUAACUUCAGGAAACUGGGGCUAAUACCGGAUAGGAGCUCCUGCUGCAUGGUGGGGGGGGGAAAGUUUCGGCGGUUGGGGAUGGACUCGCGGCUUAUCAGCUUGUUGGUGGGGUAGUGGCUUACCAAGGCUUUGACGGGUAGCCGGCCUGAGAGGGUGACCGGCCACAUUGGGACUGAGAUACGGCCCAGACUCCUACGGGAGGCAGCAGUGGGGAAUAUUGCACAAUGGGCGGAAGCCUGAUGCAGCAACGCCGCGUGCGGGAUGACGGCCUUCGGGUUGUAAACCGCUUUCGCCUGUGACGAAGCGUGAGUGACGGUAAUGGGUAAAGAAGCACCGGCUAACUACGUG